rnacentral:rRNA from 1 species
GAUGAACGCUGGCGGCGUGCUUAACACAUGCCAGUCGAACGGAAAGGCCCAAGCUUGCUUGGGUACUCGAGUGGCGAACGGGUGAGUAACACGUGGGUGAUCUGCCCUGCACUUCGGGAUAAGCCUGGGAAACUGGGUCUAAUACCGGAUAGGACCACUUCUUGGCUGUUGUGGUGGAAAGUUUUUUCGGUGUGGGAUGAGCUCGCGGCCUAUCAGCUUGUUGGUGGGGUAAUGGCCUACCAAGGCGUCGACGGGUAGCCGGCCUGAGAGGGUGUACGGCCACAUUGGGACUGAGAUACGGCCCAGACUCCUACGGGAGGCAGAAGUGGGGAAUAUUGCAGAAUGGGCGCAAGCCUGAUGCAGCGACGCCGCGGGGGGGAUGACGGUCUUCGGGUUGUAAACUCCUUUCGCUAGGGACGAAGCGUUUUGUGACGGUACCUGGAGAAGAAGCACCGGCUAACUACGUG